rnacentral:rRNA from 1 species
GACGAACGCUGGCGGCGUGCUUAACACAUGCAAGUCGAACGGAAAGGCCCUUCGGGGUACUCGAGUGGCGAACGGGUGAGUAACACGUGGGUGAUCUGCCCUGCACUUUGGGAUAAGCCUGGGAAACUGGGUCUAAUACCGAAUAGGACCACGCGCUUCAUGGUGUGUGGUGGAAAGCUUUUGCGGUGUGGGAUGGGCCCGCGGCCUAUCAGCUUGUUGGUGGGGUAAUGGCCUACCAAGGCGACGACGGGUAGCCGGUCUGAGAGGGUGACCGGCCACACUGGGACUGAGAUACGGCCCAGACUCCUACGGGAGGCAGCAGUGGGGAAUAUUGCACAAUGGGCGCAAGCCUGAUGCAGCGACGCCGCGUGAGGGAUGACGGCCUUCGGGUUGUAAACCUCUUUCAAUAGGGACGAAGCGCAAGUGACGGUACCUAUAGAAGAAGCACCGGCCAACUACGUG